CCGACUUGCUUCAAUCUAUCUUUGAUCCAGAAAUGCUCUAAUUACCCAUCUCAGCUACAUUCAUUAGUGAUGGUGAUCAGAGACUGAGUGUGAGCAAAACCAGCAUGUGCAAGCUCAGGGCCAGGCAGUUGAGGGACGCGUGUGCACUCUCCGCCCUUUCCCUCCAGCGCUGGAUGCAGACCACGUGGAGAGCUGUCAGGCAACUGGCAACAAUGUGAACAGGAGGCUGAGGCUGAGACCAGGACCAGCUCCCUGGAAGAACAUGGCCACCAGGAGGAAGGGGAAAACCUGAUUGCAACCUGAAUUCUGAUCUAAAGAGGGAGAAUUUAAAACAUGAUAAUAAAAUACAAAAUAAAA